ensembl:lncRNA
UGACUUUGCUCUGCUUUUCAAAAUGUUCUUUCAGCCAUCAGUGAGGCAAAUAUCCAACUGACAUUUUUAAGAGUUGUGGCCUAUUAUUGUAGUACACAUUUGGAUUAACCAACUGCUAUAUUUUGUUUCUAAGAUCUAGUCCUUUUUGACUGUAUCAAGUCUGAGUUAAUACAACUUCCAUUUUAAAAAUCCUGUUAUGGUUUAGUAACUUGCAAAUGUUAUUAACUUGGAAGUUAAUAAAAAGUAUUCUCUUCCUCACAUUCAGUUAUGCAAGACAAGUGCCAUACUUGGAGGGGAGAAUUCUUCUGGCUGAUCUUUAAAUCUCUGAAAACCAACAUUUAUAAACAGAAGCUUUGACCAAGCCCUUAAAUACAGAAUUGCAAUAGAGAUAUGCUAGCAAUUUUAUAAGACUGAUAAAACUGUAAGAAAUUAAAUAGAGGUCUUUGUAUUGCAAUAUAUAUCCAGGGCGACUUCUUCAAACGUAUGGCAUGCCUUACCUAGAACUGGUUUGAGUAAGAUCCUUCUGACUGCUAUCUGAUAUAAAAUACAUUUAAAAUAUCAAUUUAAAAUACAUUUAAAAAUACAUUUAAAAUAACUAGUCAUAAGCUGUGAAUGUAAAUAACCAGUGAAUUUAAAAUAACCAACAUAUUUUCUCACAGCAAGUUUAUUACCUGCCUGCCUCCUGAAAGACCAUGAAGGUAUGGAAGUGUCUUGUGCAUUGGUUACAUUUCCAUCCUUGAAAUAAACUAAACUCAUUUGCCAUGUGUGGACAGUGAAUGGGGCAGGGGUCAAUGGAGCAGCCUGACACUGGUGUGUUUGCUGAGUCUCUUCAUUCAGUUGGAAAACAAAAAGAUCUGUUUCUAAAUACCGCUUUCCUGGGAUUAAGGAGGUGAAAUCAAUGGUUUGAUUGUUUGGCUUUGUUGGUGCAUUAGGGUUUUUUUCAGCCUUUCUCUCCACUAUCUCAAAUAUAGACCAGCUAGAGUGGAAAAUCUAACUUUUAGUGCAAAGGUAAUUGGUACACAAAAUUGGUAUGUGCCUGUAUUUUGGUGGGUUAACCAGUCUGCAUACUGCACUGGGUCUUUCAGAUGAAUAUACUCAGACAGCUAUUUACGUGACAGAAAUUCUCACAUAAUUUAGGGGUAUGCAAGCUCGUACUGCUAGGUUCAAAAUGUAAACCCAUUUAUAUAGAUAUGUGUGGCCAAUACAAUUCUUUUAAAUUUUUUUUUUAUUUUAUGUUUUAGUGCUGAAAUCACGAAUGAACCAACUUGGAUGAACAAAGUUAGUCUCAUAUUCUAUAAGCUCAGCAGGAUUCUAGGCAGAAAGCACCAAAGACUUUAAAAUAAAAAAGUAAAUGGUUAUGUUGGAUGACCUUGAAAGUAUAUAAAAGUAGCAGGAAUGUCAGUUUCUCUUUUCCAUAGUCACUGUGGUCUUUCCAUAAUCCCUGUUAAUAUCCCACCUUGUCCCAUUUUUAAACAAACUAAGCCUUCCAUAAGACUUCCGUUAAACUGUGAAUACACGUUCUCAACCAAAUGCUUUAUAUUUAUACAGGCAUCUGUGAUCUGUCUGCCUUGUUAAUAAAAUAUAUUUGCUACU